rnacentral:rRNA from 1 species
CCCUUAGACGUUCUGGGCCGCACGCGCGCUACACUGACCAGUGCAACAAGCAUCCGUCCUUGGCCGACAGGCUCGGGCAAUCUUUGAACGCUGGUCGUGAUGGGGAUAGACUUUUGCAAUUUUUGGUCUUCAACGAGGAAUUCCUAGUAAACGCAAGUCAUCAACUUGCAUUGAUUACGUCCCUGCCCUUUGUACACACCGCCCGUCACACCUACCGAUUGAAUGGUCCGGUGAAGCCUCCGGAUUGGCGCGCACCUCGGUGCCGCCGAGAAGUUGGCUAAACCUUACCAUUUAGAGGAAGGUGAAGUCGUAACA